rnacentral:lncRNA from 1 species
CUUCGCUGACGGGGCGUGGCCUGCGCGUCGUUGACGGCAGCGGGGAGGGGGCGUGGUUUGUGCGCCAUUGCCGGCAAUAGGAGGGGGCGUGGCUAAAAGGGCUCAGUGGGGUAAUGACGUCAUUUGAUGACGUCACCUUUAUUUUUUUCCUCACAUUUUGACGUCACCAACGCAGGAAAAAAGGAAUUCCCGGAUUCCGGGGGUUUUCCCCCCCCCCAAAAAAAAAUCCCCGGGAUGGAAUCGGGGGGAUCCAAAACUCUGCCGGACCCGGUGAGCGACCGCCAAAAAAAUUCCCAAUAAAAUAAAAUAAAAUAAAAUAAAACAAAAUAAAAUAAAAUAAAAUCAAAUCCCGGAAUUUUAAACUUUUCCCGCCCUUUUUUUUCCCUCCAAAAUCAAUUUCCCGCCAGGCCGACGCGAUGACGUCAGACGACUUCGACAUCGUCAUCGAGGCCAUGCUGGAGGCGCCCUACAAGAAGGAGGAGGCCCAGCCCGGCCCUUCCAAGGCCCCAGCGGAGCCGGCCCCGGCCCAGCAGGCGCCGCCGGAGGAGCCGAAGGAGCCCAAGAAGGAGAGCGGGAGCAGCAGCCGGAAGAAGCGGAGCCGGAGCCGGAGCCGCGAGCACAGACACAGGUGGGGAAAUUCGGGAAUUCUGGGGGAAAUCCGGGAAUUUUGGGGGAAAUCUGGGAAUUCUGGGAGAAAAAUUUGGAAUUUUGGGGGGAAAUUCAGGAAUUCUGGGGGAAAUUUGGGAAUUUUGGAGGGAAUUUGGGGAUUUUGGGUGAAAUUUGGGAAUUCUGGGGGAAUUUUUGGGUUAAAUUUGGGAAUUUUGGGGGAAAUUUGGGAAUUUUGGGGGAAAUUUGGGAAUUUUGGGGGAAAUUUUGGGAAUUUUGGGGGAAAUUUGGGAAUUCUGGGGGAAUUUUGGGGGAAAUUUGGGAAUUCUGGGGAAAUUUGGGAAUUCUGGGGGAAAUUUGGGAAUUCUGGGGAAAUUUGGGGAUUUUGGGGGGAAAUUUGGGAAUUUUGGGGGAAAUUUUUUCUCCUGGAAAUUUUUUAGGAAUUUUUUGGGGGAAAUUCUCUG